ACAUAACUGAUGCCUCCGCGUAUCGACUUUGUGCGCAUUUUAGCUAUUAUGUGUUCUUUUAAUUAAAAUGAUUCUUUUUAAGAUUCAUCUAUUAAAAAUUUGCUUCGGCAUAAUUUUUUUUUGAUGAUCUUGUUACUUUGAGUAAAUUAGAGUGUUCAAAGCAAACAGAUAUAGCAUUUGUGCGUUUGAAUACUACAGCAUGGAAUAACAAAAUUGAACAAGUCAGAAUUUUUUUGUUCUUUUUUCUUAUUUUGGCUUAGUUACGAUUAAUAGGAGUAGCUUGGGGGCAUUUGUAUUCAGAUGUCAGAGGUGAAAUUCUUAGAUUUUCUGGAGACAAACAACUGCGAAAGCAUUUGCCUAAAAUACUUCCAUUAAUCAAGAACGAAAGUUAAGGGAGUGAAGACGAUCAGAUACCGUCGUAAUCUUAACCAUAAACUAUGCCGACUAGGCUUUGGAUGAAAGAUUUUAAAAUAAGAGUUUUUCUUUUCUCUCCGGAGAUUAGGACUCUUAGAUUGCCUCCUUCAGUGCCUUAUGAGAAAUCAAAGUCUUUGGGUUCUGGGGCGAGUAUUCGCGCAAGCGAGAAAGUUAAAAGAAUUGGCGGAAGGGCACCACCAGGCGUGGAGCUUGCGGCUUAAUUUGACUCAACACGGGAAAACUCACUAGUUUAAGACAAGAGUAGGAUUGACAGAUUAAUAGCUCUUUCUUGAUUUCUUGGAUGGUGAUGCAUGGCCGUUUUUAGUUCGUGAAUAUGAUUUGUCUGGUUAAUUCCGAUAACGAACGAGAUCUUAACCUGCUAAUUAGCGGCAAAUACGAUAUAUUCUUAUGUAGAAUUGAAUAUAGUGGAUUUGUUGGAUUUUGAAGAAAAUAUUGGAAUUACGUUUAAAUGUGAUUCCUUUCCCUUUUCUACUUAAUUUACAUUUCCAUCUAUUUCUUUUUUGCGUAUGAAUGUAUUUGCUUGAUUGUAAAGCUUCUUAGAGGAACGAUGUGUG
rnacentral:rRNA from 1 species